rnacentral:rRNA from 1 species
CCUACGGGUGGCAGCAGUGAGGAAUAUUGGUCAAUGGACGAGAGUCUGAACCAGCCAAGUAGCGUGAAGGAUGACUGCCCUAUGGGUUGUAAACUUCUUUUAUAUGGGAAUAAAUGUUCCACGUGUGGGAUUUUGUAUGUACCAUAUGAAUACGGAUCGGCGAACUCCGUGCCAGCAGCCGCGGUAAUACGGAGGGUCCGAGCGUUAUCCGGAUUUAUUGGGUUUAAAGGGCGCGUAGGUGGAUUGUUAAGUCAGUUGUGAAAGUUUGCGGCUCAACCGUAAAAUUGCAGUUGAAACUGGCAGUCUUGAGUACGGUAGAGGUGGGCGGAAUUCGUGGUGUAGCGGUAAAAUGCUUAGAUAUCACGAAGAACUCUGAUUGCGAAGGCAGCUCACUGGACUACAACUGACGCUGAGGCUCGAAAGUGCGGGUAUCAAACAGGAUUAGAUACCCCUGUAGUC